rnacentral:sRNA from 1 species
GCCGGGCAUGGUGGCGCAUGCCUGUAAUCUCAGCUACUCGGAGGCUGAGGCAGGAGAAUUGCUUGAACCUAGGAGGUGGAGGUUGCAGUAAGCCAAAAUAGCAUCACUGUACUCCAGCCUGAAAGCCUGGGUAACAGAGUGAGACUCUGUCUCAA